rnacentral:misc_RNA from 1 species
UACGUAGGUGGCAAGCGUUGUCCGGAAUUAUUGGGCGUAAAGCGCGCGCAGGCGGUUUCUUAAGUCCGAUGUGAAAGCCCACGGCUCAACCGUGGAAGGUCAUUGGAAACUGGGGAACUUGAGUGCAGAAGAGGAAAGUGGAAUUUCAUGUGUAGCGGUGAAAUGCGUAGAGAUGUGGAAGAACACCAGUGGCGAAGGCGGCUUUCUGGUCAGUAACUGACGCUGAGGCGCGAAAGCGUGGGGAGCAAACAGG